rnacentral:rRNA from 1 species
GAUGAACGCUGGCGGCGUGCCUAAUACAUGCAAGUCGAGCGAACGGACGAGAAGCUUGCUUCUCUGAUGUUAGCGGCGGACGGGUGAGUAACACGUGGAUAACCUGCCUAUAAGACUGGGAUAACUUCGGGAAACCGGAGCUAGUACCGGAUGAUAUUUUGAACCGCAUGGUUCAAAAGUGAAAGACGGUCUUGCUGUCACUUAUAGAUGGAUCCGCGCUGCAUUAGCUAGUUGGUAAGGUAACGGCUUACCAAGGCAACGAUGCAUAGCCGACCUGAGAGGGUGAUCGGCCACACUGGAACUGAGACACGGUCCAGACUCCUACGGGAGGCAGCAGUAGGGAAUCUUCCGCAAUGGGCGAAAGCCUGACGGAGCAACGCCGCGUGAGUGAUGAAGGUCUUCGGAUCGUAAAACUCUGUUAUUAGGGAAGAACAUAUGUGUAAGUAACUGUGCACAUCUUGACGGUACCUAAUCAGAAAGCCACGGCUAACUACGUG